rnacentral:tRNA from 1 species
UGGAUUGGUUGACAAAAGCCAUCGCUUCGUACAGGUGGCCAAUUCAGAUUGAACCCAAAUCAAUCAAACCCA